CACUGGGAUUCUUAAAGUUGGAGAAAAGGAUGUUGAUGGGUGAUGCUCUCUACAGCUUCUUGAAGAGGAGAAUUAGAGAGGGAGGAGCAUCAAGAGGGAUUGUAGAGCCCUAGGAGCAGCAGUAAAGGACUCAGGAGUGCAGUUUGAUUAUAGUAUCAGUGAUAGAUGCCCAGAGACUACAGAAGGCCAUGGAUCUUCAGGAGAGCACCUAAAGAGCAGUACAAAGGAAUUCCAGACAGCAAGUCAUCUUCAUCAUGGGCCCAUCUUAAACGUCUCUUAAAUGAACCUAAAAUGUACCUUAAAUUAAGAAGAUACUUCAGAAGGUACUUCAGAAGAAUUGGUGAAGCAGGUUGUCCACUCUGCAGCCCAUGGUGUAACACAGUGGAGCAGAGUUCCAUGCUGCAGCCUGUGGAGGAGACCACAGUGAAGCAGGGGAACUACUGAAGGAGGCUGCAGCCUGUGGAGAAC